rnacentral:rRNA from 1 species
AGAGUUUGAUCCUGGCUCAGGAUGAACGCUGGCGGUGUGCCUAAUACAUGCAAGUCGAACGAAGACCCUUGUACUCGUACGAGGAAUUCUUAGUGGCGAACGGGUGAGUAUCGCGUUGGUGACCUGCCCCGAAGUGGGGGACAACAGUUCGAAAGGACUGCUAAUACCCCAUGUGGCCGUGAUAAUUAGAAAGUCACGACUAAAGGAGUAAUCCGCUUCGGGAGGGGUCUGCGUCCCAUCAGCUAGUUGGUAAGGUAAUGGCUUACCAAGGCAACGACGGGUAGGGGACCUGAGAGGGUGACCCCCCACACUGGUACUGAAACACGGACCAGACACCUGAGGGUGGCAGCAGUAGGGAAUAUUGCACAAUGGGCGAAAGCCUGAUGCAGCAACACCGCGUGUGUGAUGAAGGCCUUCGGGUCGUAAAGCACUUUUAUGAGGGAAGAGGAAGGACGGUACCUCAUGAAUAAGGAUCGGCUAACUACGUGCCAGCAGCCGCGGUAACACGUAGGAUCCAAGCGUUAUCCGGAUUUACUGGGCGUAAAGCGCGUGUAGGCGGCUUGAUAAGUUGGAUGUGAAAGCUCCCGGCCCAACCGGGAGACGUCGUUCAAUACUGCCAGGCUUG